UUUCUUAGUGAACAUGCAAUAAUUAAAUAUGCAAUCUAAAUUAACCAAAUGACCUAACUCUAAUGACGAGGAAAUUCUAAUUAAAUGAACCUAGCAAUUACUAAAUGACGUGCAUUUCAUGAACCCAAUUCUAUAUGACGUGCACGUGAUUUUUUAUUUUCUUAAUAAGCAUGCAAUCUAUCCUGAUAUGCAAUGACGUGCAAAGAAUGCCCUAAUUCUAAUUUUUCUUUUUCUCUUAUGAAAUUCAAAAUUAAAAUGGCCAAAUAAUUAAACCUGCAAUUCAAAUUUAAAACUAACAUCCUAGAUGAAUGCAAUCUAAUUCAAAGAUAUCAUCUAACCUAGAUAUCAUCUAAACAUGCAUUUUAAAAAAACUAACUAACCUAUCAUGCAAUCAAUCCUAAUCUACAUGGGAUGGGAAUGCAAUUUUUUUGUAUUUUCGGGAUAAAUAGAACAACUAUGAGAUAGACAUCAAACCAACCAUGAUCGUCAAGAAUAUUAUCCAUCACUCAAUUUGAAAUUCAAAUUUGAUUAUCUCGCUAAUAAAAUCGAUAAAUUGAUCUUAAGCCUUAAAGAUCAAGAUAUCAGUUUUACUCCCGCGUGAAUAAUUAUUCCAUCUAAAGCCUUAUAGAUAGAAUAAAAAUUCGUGCGGUUGCGAAUUGGAUGCUACAUUAGGGAAUUUCAAUGAUGUAUUGGAAAAAAAAAUCAAACAAAGAGAUAAAAUAUCAAAACCUCAAACAAGAUAAACAAAUCUACCUAAUAAGUUAAAUCUACCUAAAAGAUAAACCUAUCAAAUAAAGUAAAAUAGAUCUAUACCUAAAUUUGAAUUUUUCCAAAAAACCAAUCGGUAGAACGGACCAACGAUGGGCAUGGCACGGCACGGCUCAGCUUUAGGGCAACGGUUGUGGCAAUAUCUCGGCUUGGCUUGGCACAAUUUGUGACGAUUUCGAUGGGCUAAUGUUCGGGACAUCAAUGUGGCGUCGAGUUAAACAUGGAACAGCAACGUUGACGCAACAAAAUCAGCAAGCUUCACCGAUAUUGGGUUGGGUUGUGAUGGACACAAUUCAAGCCUGAGGAACUCACGGACACGCCUACACCGAUACUGCUCAAUCCACUUUGAAGCACACCUCGACACCUGGACGUGGGCAGCAAUUGGGAUAGCAAACAGUCAACGUUUGAAGAUCCAAAUAUUUGCUGGAGAAGUUGAGGAAUUUGCUGUGAUGCUCAUCCCUCCUUGACGCGCCCUUGGACUAACGUGGCAGAACAAUGGGAACAGCAAAUUAGUUGACGUUGGGCGCCCUUCACAGACAAAACACCGCACCGAGAAGGAGCUGCAGGCACACGUGGAGAUCACCGAUGUCGAUGGAGCCUCCUUUGAACUUCCGAAGGUAAAAGGCACCGAGAAGGAGCUGCAGGCACGCGUGGGGAUCACUGAUGUCAAUUGAUCACCGAAAAUCAAAGGGCAGCACACGUUCGCCAACGAUUCUCCCUCACGAUCCGUCCCUCUCUCUCGAUUCUCAACUUUUCGUCCUCAAUUGUCCGGCCCCUUUACUCGACGGAAAGGACUCCUUUUAUAGGCCAAAAAAUUGUAUCUUCGUGGUAUAUUUCAUUUCUAAUUUUGCCUGUGCACGAUACUAUUGAAUAUAUCAUUCUAUCCCGCGCAAUAUUUUCAAAUAUUUCAUUCGAAAAUUUCCUUUCUGUCAAAAAUACAUCACUCGGUGUAUAUUGCCUAAAUAUAUGAAAAUCCCAACGAAAUAUGUGAAGAAUUUUGCACUCGCCGACGGUCCAAUAAAAUAAAUAAAAAUGUUCCUAAACUAUAUGCCAUGUUAUUAUUUUUUAUUUUUAUUUUAGUAAAAAUUAACCCAAAGAUUGUGCAAAAAUUUAGGUGUCAACAGCUGCCCCUCUUUGAAGGUGAGCUCGCAGAGGUUGCCUUCAAAGAUAAAUUGAGACCUAAAUUUUGGUCAUGCACAUGCAAUGAAUGAUUUUUUGUUGGAACAUGAAUUCCAUUUUUAAUGCAAUUUAUAUGAUGCAUGGAAAUGCAAAUGAUAGAUGAACCUACCUGAAAUAACUUACCUUCGAGGAGGAUAGAGUAAUCCGAGGUAGUGGGUGUUACCGGUCCAGGACACGUACCAUUCUACGGUCGCUUAGGGUGCGCAUGGAUUUGUUUCUGUUCUUUUUUUGUUCCUGGGAACAGAAACAAAAAAAAGUGUUUCUGUUCCGGGGAACAGUUUUUGAACAAAAGAACACGUUUGGUAACGUUUGGUCGGGGAAUAAAAAAUGAACAGAAACAUGUUUGGUAAAUUUUAUUAUUUUUUUGUUUCUUUUAAUUUUUUAAACAUUUUUUUUAUUUUUUAUUUUUCCUUUCUUUUUAUUUUUUCUUUUCUUCGGCCGGUCCCCGGCCUCCGGCGACCGGCCGACGGGGCCGGCAGCCUCGCCCAGCCACGGCGAGGCUCGCCGGAUCUGGGCGAGCUCGAGCUCGCCCAGCCAUGGCGAGGCUCGGCCUCGCCGGAUCUGGGCGAGGCCAAGCCUCGACGGCCGGUCGCCGGCGACCGGCCAAAAUGAAAUAGAAGAAAAAAAAGAAGAAAAGAAGAAGAGAAGAGUGAUUUUUGUUCUUUUGUUCCUUCCGAGAAGUGUUUCUUUCAAGAGAAACAACUUUUUUUUGUUUCUUUUUUCUGUUUCUAUUUCGUUCCAGAAACAAAAAAACAAAAAAAGAACAGAAACGCAACCAAACGCGUUUCUGUUCUUUUUUUGUUCCCGGGAACACUUUCCGUACAGAAGUGUUCCGGAAACACUUUUUUGGAGUGUUUCCAUGCACCCCCUUAGAAUAGUGAAGAUGCUGCUUUCCUAGGACCCAUACCAUUCUACGGUCGCCUAGUAUAGCAGAAAUGAGCUGCUUUCUCGAGACCCGUACCAUUCUACGGUUGCCCAAUACGGCAUAAAGGUUUUGUAAGGAACUGCUUUCCCAGGACCCGUACCAUUCUACGGUCGCCCAGUACAGUAGAAAGGUUUCAUCUAGGACCCGUACCAUUCUACGGUUGCCUGAAUAAGGAAUAGGUGUUGUCAAGGACCCGUACCAUUCUACGGUCGCCUGAAUGAGGAAAUUGCUUUUCCAGGACUCGUACCAUUCUACGGUCGCCUGUUAGAGCAAUAAAUGUUGUCUAGGACCCGUACCAUUCUACGGUUGCCUAGACUGAGGUUUUGCUUGGCCAGGACCCGAACCAUUCUUCGGUCGCCUUAAUCAGAUUGAAUCUGGAGAGAAAUCUUUGGGGGACAACUCAAUCGAGUGUCGGUAUGCUUAAAAGGGAAUACCUGUGCAAUGACAAAUAUUCCAGGUAUGGAUAGAGAUAUACUUACCUGGUAACAUCUCCGAUCUUCGGGGAUACAUCUCCUGCAAAACAUGGUCGUAGGAGAGACAACAUGCAUUGUUAAUCAUAAACAUGCAUCAAUUUAAUGGAGAUUCAUGAUGAUUUCCAUUAAUCUUGCAUCGCCUAAUUUCUAUUCUAAACACAUGAGUGUCAUGAAUGUGUCAAAUGAGGGAUCCUUUGGUCUGAAAGGACUUUUUCUCUCAUCCUCAUUAAAAUGGCAAUUUCAUCCUGACCUUUGAUGCAGGAUUUUGUCAAUUACUCUAUCUCACCAUCGUCAUGCCAAACAAGGGUCUGAGCAAUCUCGCAAGUGGUACGAUCUCACCAAUCUGAGAGGUCUUUAAAAGGGACCGUAAUGUGGGCUUAGUCAAUGGCUUAACAAAGGGGACUCUUUUGAGUCGAGGUUAUUUGAAAAAUGACAUUUCGUAACUGUCUUGGGAUUUUCAAGUCAAGAAAUAUAUGAAAUGAGGCAGUAAUUAUCUUACUCGCACUUCUUCAAGCGAUGCUUUCAAGCAUAUGAACUCUUACGUUAAUUCAAGUGCCCUAAUCUGAAGAGACUUUGUAAGGGACGUAACGUAGGCUUGGUUCAUGGGUUGUGAAAUGAAAGGAUCAUUAGGCUCAAAAAGUGUUUAAAGGGUCAAAGUUGGUGAUCAUCUUGACAUUUCCACCACUUUCCUUCUCCAUUGUCAGAGAUUUUUUUUUUUUUUUGCGCAUCGAUUGCAACAGCAUUUGAGUUUUUUUUCUUUUUUCUUUUGGGCAUCGGCCUUGCUUUUACCAGGCACACUGCUUUUUUCAUGCCCCAUUUUUGCAUUUUUUUUUAACAAAAUCUCCAUUUUUGUCGGUAUUCUAGUUCAUGCUACUUGAGUGUUUUUGUCUUGCCCCAGUGUGGGGGAUGAUCAUCAACUGGGUUUAAUAUGAAAUGAAUUCAUAGGCUCAAGUGGGCUAUGCAAUGGAUAAAAGUGUGUAGGAUAGAGAAAUGACUGCUCUUCAUCAUCCUAAGGCACUUUAAACUAUCAUAUGAGUUACAACGCGAAAGCAAUACUCGAAGAUUGAUGCAAGUGUGAGUAAGAAAAUUCCUAUCAUUCAUUUCAAACUCGGUCCCAAUGUGAGAUGAUCCUUGACAGGGAUGAUUUAAAAACUCUUUAUGUGUGUGGGCUCGAAGGGCUAAACAAUGGGUAUACCUGUAGUGUUUCGGGUAGAAGAAGAAAUUGCCUCUCGUCACCUUGGUUAGUGUACCCUUCGCGAGAUCACCCUUUUCGUUGCGGGCAUGGAAUUUCUUCAUACAACUUACCGAUGAUUAGUGUAUGGGAUAGUGUAUGGAACAAGGCUUGCCUUUCAUCAUUCCCAGGUAUCUCAUUCGACACACACAAUUCAUCAAGGAAGAAAAAUGCAAGAUUUAUGACAAAUUUGAACAAUUCAGCUCAUUGAGGCAUUUUAUUAGUCACAAAAAUACUUGCAGACAUGACAUGGCAAAUUCUAUCAUGGAUAAUAUUUCUUGACAACAUCAGCAUUAAUUGGGGUGGAAAACUCACGACCACCCAUCUCUGCUUGGAUCAAAGCACUUCCAGGAAGUACCUUCUUCACCACGUAUGGGUGGCUGCAGUUUGGAGCAAACUUGCCCCCAGAAUCUGGAAUUGGAUUGGAUCCUCUUCAUACCUUUGCAUGCUAUAAGACUGUCUCUGAAACAUAAUGUAGAUGGGUCAAAUAGACAAACGGGGUAAAUCAUUUUUUUUUUGAAAGAAUUUUUUUUUAAAAGCAAUUGGAAGAGUAUUUUUUUGAAGCAUUUUGACACGAGAAAGCACGAUGAAGCCCAGGCCUCAAAAUUUCUCCAUGGAUGAUAUUUUCUUUUUAUUGUUGGCUGGAUAUCAUCACCAGGCUGGUUUGGUAUACCUCAUCAUGCCCUCAAAAUAAAACUUGCAAUUUUAUUGAUAUUCAUCAAUCAAUUACAUUUAUUGAAUGGAAAUGCGAUUUUCAAGCCCUAAAAAGAAAGCGAAGAGAAAGAAAUAAAAAAACAAGCCCUAGAGAGUGAUAAAAAUUCCCGCGCAGGGGAAUGUGGGAAAGCAGGAAACGAGUUACUCUUGUGGGCUAGAGCCCAUCUUCUCCGGAGGUCCUUCAUCAAUGGUCCCUAUGAAGACGUCAUCGAAGAGACUAGUGAUCCCUUCCAAUGCAUCAUCGGGGUUCUCUGUUUCCGAGGGUGUUGGAUCAUCCAUGCCACCCCAUCCAUCUGGGACAAUGCUGCAGGGAUCAAUGUAGAAACUAGGAGGAGCCGUAUACUUCACCAGAUAGUCGAAUUUUCCGCUCGGCUGCCCUAGGGUGUCUAUUAUUUCUGCUUCAUCCUGCAUCAUUACCGGGGGGCUAGGGAAUGUCUCACGAAUGUUCGGGGGUGAUGGGUUUUGCCUUCCUCGCUCGUGGUCAGGUGACGGGUUCCGCCUUUCAUGUCUUCGUCCUCCAGAACUUUCCCCACCUCUUCCAUGGUACCCUAAUCUAGCAACACGAGACCUCUGAGGGGCUUCAUUGGGACUUCGAAUGCCCUGACCAUUUCUUUCAAGGCCACUACUAGGAACAAAACCAUUCCCAACCAUCAUCCUUCCCAUUAUGAGAGUAGCAUUUGAAACUUCAGGAGUGGGUGGUGAGUCUCGAGGUGCAUGUAUGGUGGACACCAACUCCAAUGAGUGGUAACUCGAUUCGACUUCAACGUCUGGAUCCAGAAUAGCAUUGACCGUACCCUCAUGCUCUGGUAGUGGAUUCUUCUGGACGUUCAGCCGAGCAGUUUGAAAUGAGAAGGCCUUCGUGUCCAAGAGGUCUUGGAUCUUAUGCUUGAGAGUGAAACAUUCAUCAGUUGAAUGCCCCAAUUCGCCGCUAUGGUAAUCACACUUCUUCAUUGGGUCGUAGCCUCAGAUGCUUUCACGAUUAGGACGCUUCGGCUCAUUAGUAAGCAAACCUUUCUUUCUUAGGAUUGCCAACACUUGGGAUGGAGAUCCGGGGAGAGGGGUAAACUGUCUUCUUGCUUGGGCAGCUUGUUGCCUUUGAUUCAUCUGGAUAGUCGGGGCACGAUUGGUACUUUCUUGGCUAUAAGCCAUAUUCACAUCUUCAGCAGGCUCUUUAUCCUUCUUGGCAAAGAAUCUUCUACUCGAUGGCUCAGUAAACCAUCCUUCCCUUAUCCCCAUCUCGAUUUGUUCCCCCACAGAAAUAAGCUGAUUGAAGCUUUCAACGUACAUGCUGGCCAUCCGGAUACGGAACUCAGAUGGGAGAGUUUUGAUAAAUAACUUCAUCAGCUCCUUGUCAGUAGGCUCGGGGGUGAUUUGAGUUGCCAGAUUUCGCCAUCUCACGGCAUACUCUUUGAACAACUCGCUCUUCUUCUUCUCCAUCAUCUCAAGAUCCUCUCGGGAAGGUGCAAUAUCCAUGUUGAAUUUGUAUUGCUUGAGAAAUGCAUCAGCCACUUCAUUCCAAGUGUUGAGAAGGUUCACAUUCUUCAUGACAUACCAAUUCAGUGCAGGCCCAGUCAAACUUGCAUGGAAUGAUUGGAUCAUGAGAGGCUCGUUCUUGACAUUUGGGCCAUGCGCACGUGGUACAUCUGCAAAUGAGCUUUUGGGCAGGAAGUACCAUCGUAUUUCUCAAAAUCCGGCAUUUUGAAUUUCUUUGGCAUCUUGACUUUCUCGUACACGGACAAGUCGAACAGGAGUGAACUCUGUGACUCCUGCAAUUGUUUCAACUUUUCUUCUAAUUUCACAAAGCGUUCAUCCUACUCCGUCUUAGGGAUGUUGACAAGCUUAGCAUUUUCCACAUUGAUCUGGAAUGGAUCAUCUUCCAGCCCUGGCAUGUCAUCCUCACCUAUUAGGGCCUUGUUUGCCGGCUUCGGGACUACUAUCUCAGGGAGAGUAGGUGCAGGAGCCAGAUUCACUUGGAGGGAUUGAAGUUGAGCUGUUAUAAGCUCCAUAGAGGCAGCUAACUGUUGGAGUUGGCCUUCCACGGAGGACAUGCGAUCGCGCAUCUCGCUUUGGUUGGCCAUUCUUGCUCUUAAUCGCAUGAUAAUAGGCGAGCGUGGAGAAUCCGUUAUCACCUAAAUCAAAUGGAUGAAAAUGCAUAAGUAUGAGGUGCAAAUAGCGAAUCAAUCCAUGACAAUGAUCUAUCAACUUUUUUUCUUUUUUUUCUUUUUUAUGAAAAGUUCUUACAAGAAGAGAAUUUCCUAAAGAGAGCUAGAAAAGUGGAUACCUUAGCAAGAUCAAAUUUUCUAGACAUGAAUUGAAAACAAAUUCUCCAAAGUUUUUUAAUUUUCCAAAUGAUUUAUUGCAUGGCAAUUUCCUCAUUUCAUCUCUAAUUGACAAAGAAGUUAAAUUAAUGAUUGACCUAAAUUGUCAUGGACCGACCAAAAACAUUACAAAAUAAAUUGCAUGGUAUAAGGAUAGAAGACUUACUUCACCAAGGUAAAACAACGGCAAUCACAUAGACAAGCGCAUGAAGUGUGAGGUUCGAUUUCUAACUAGGAAGGCUAAACAAGGUGGAGUUAAAAGGGUGGGAUGACUUAGUUGCAGCCUCGCAUACUAAGUCAAGUCCUCCUAACUCCGGCUCAGUCAAGAAUGAUACCCCAAUGCGACGUAGCCUCGCGGGCAAAGGCAAACAUUCUUGACACCAAGAAAAACAUUCGGGAUUGAGUUGGGCAACCUCUACUACACAGCCUCGCGGUCGAAGUCAUAUCCAACUCAAUACCAUCCUAUAUAUCCUAGUGCAGCCUAGGUCCGGCCACAGGUUGUGUGUGCAAUAGUGUAGUGCUAAAAUGCAAAGCAUGCACUACAGUUUAUAUCAAGCAGCACUUCAAUAACUUGAAUUUAAAACAUUCAUCUCCAACUCCAACCUACAAGACAAUAGUUAGCAAAGACUACUCCUCUUAUACCUCACAAUCUGCAAAAACAUUUAACACCUUAAAUGUUAGGGACGUACCUGGAAUCCUCGCUGCCAAACAAAAAUAUUUUUUUUUCCAAAAAGAAGAAAAUUGGCCUAAGUCCACUAAAUGUUUUAACACAAGUCCCCAGCGGAGUCGCCAAGCUGUCGCGACCAAUUUUUUCGGGGUUUAAACCACCUAGGGUUUGGCUAAUGGAUUGUUAAGCCUAAACUUAACUCGGGCUCUCCCAAGCCCAUACCAAUUCGCGACUUAGGUUCAAGUUUAUAACAUGCAAAUGAUUUUUCAAUUAGGAGUCGCCACUAAUCUAUUUUUGGUGGGUCGAUUAGAAACCCAAGUAAAGUAACGGGAGAUUCACUUUACUCCUACGAACCAGAGACUAUGGGUACGGGGACUUGGUUACACUAGAUUCCUCUAAUGCCCUUUCGUUACCUUUCUUUUUAUUUUGAAAAAUGUUUGGCAAGCAGUUUUGAUUGAUUUUAAAUUUAUUUCCCUAACAUGUGAGGCGAUCAUGCGAGUGCGCAAACCACCAAUUUAACACUCAGAUAAAGCAGUGAAUAAAUUAUAGGAUUUACCUCGAAGCAACGAAAGCAUCUGCGUUGUUAGAUCAAAAUUCACAUAAGCAAUCCUAGAUAUGAUUUCUAAUUAACACGCAAUCACUCAAUUUUUGCUUUCGUUUUAAUGAGAAUCAUGCAAUGCAAUACACUAAUCUAACAUGCAAUGAUAUGGCAUAGCAAUAUGACCUAAACUAUAUGACAUAAGUAAAAAAAAUGAUUUUUUGUGUUUUCUUAGUGAACAUGCAAUAAUUAAAUAUGCAAUCUAAAUUAACCAAAUGACCUAACUCUAAUGACGAUGAAAUUCUAAUUAAAUGAACCUAGCAAUUACUAAAUGACGUGCAUUUCAUGAACCCAAUUCUAUAUGACGUGCACGUGAUUUUUUAUUUUCUUAAUAAGCAUGCAAUCUAUCCUGAUAUGCAAUGACGUGCAAAGAAUGCCCUAAUUCUAAUUUUUCUUUUUCUCUUAUGAAAUUCAAAAUUAAAAUGGCCAAAUAAUUAAACCUGCAAUUCAAAUUUAAAACUAACAUCCUAGAUGAAUGCAAUCUAAUUCAAAGAUAUCAUCUAACCUAGAUAUCAUCUAAACAUGCAUUUUAAAAAAAACUAACUAACCUAUCAUGCAAUCAAUCCUAAUCUACAUGGGAUGGGAAUGCAAUUUUUUUUGUAUUUUCGGGAUAAAUAGAACAACUAUGAGAUAAACAUCAAACCAACCAUGAUCGUCAAGAAUAUUAUCCAUCACUCAAUUUGAAAUUCAAAUUUGAUUAUCUCGCUAAUAAAAUCGAUAAAUUGAUCUUAAGCCUUAAAGAUCAAGAUAUCAGUUUUACUCCCGCGUGAAUAAUUAUUCCAUCUAAAGCCUUAUAGAUAGAAUAAAAAUUCGUGCGGUUGCGAAUUGGAUGCUACAUUAGGGAAUUUCAAUGAUGUAUUGGAAAAAAAAAUCAAACAAAGAGAUAAAAUAUCAAAACCUCAAACAAGAUAAACAAAUCUACCUAAUAAGUUAAAUCUACCUAAAAGAUAAACCUAUCAAAUAAAGUAAAAUAGAUCUAUACCUAAAUUUGAAUUUUUCCAAAAAACCAAUCGGUAGAACGGACCAACGAUGGGCACGGCACGGCACGGCUCAGCUUUAGGGCAACGGUUGUGGCAAUAUCUCGGCUUGGCUUGGCACAAUUUGUGACGAUUUCGAUGGGCUAAUGUUCGGGACAUCAAUGUGGCGUCGAGUUAAAC
rnacentral:lncRNA from 1 species